GGGUUGUGAGGUUAAGCGACUAAGCGUACACGGUGGAUGCCCUGGCAGUCAGAGGCGAUGAAGGACGUGCUAAUCUGCGAUAAGCGUCGGUAAGGUGAUAUGAACCGUUAUAACCGGCGAUUUCCGAAUGGGGAAACCCAGUGUGUUUCGACACACUAUCAUUAACUGAAUCCAUAGGUUAAUGAGGCGAACCGGGGGAACUGAAACAUCUAAGUACCCCGAGGAAAAGAAAUCAACCGAGAUUCCCCCAGUAGCGGCGAGCGAACGGGGAGCAGCCCAGAGCCUGAAUCAGUGUGUGUGUUAGUGGAAGCGUCUGGAAAGGCGCGCGAUACAGGGUGACAGCCCCGUACACAAAAAUGCACAUGCUGUGAGCUCGAUGAGUAGGGCGGGACACGUGGUAUCCUGUCUGAAUAUGGGGGGACCAUCCUCCAAGGCUAAAUACUCCUGACUGACCGAUAGUGAACCAGUACCGUGAGGGAAAGGCGAAAAGAACCCCGGCGAGGGGAGUGAAAAAGAACCUGAAACCGUGUACGUACAAGCAGUGGGAGCACGCUUCGGCGUGUGACUGCGUACCUUUUGUAUAAUGGGUCAGCGACUUAUAUUCUGUAGCAAGGUUAACCGAAUAGGGGAGCCGAAGGGAAACCGAGUCUUAACUGGGCGUUAAGUUGCAGGGUAUAGACCCGAAACCCGGUGAUCUAGCCAUGGGCAGGUUGAAGGUUGGGUAACACUAACUGGAGGACCGAACCGACUAAUGUUGAAAAAUUAGCGGAUGACUUGUGGCUGGGGGUGAAAGGCCAAUCAAACCGGGAGAUAGCUGGUUCUCCCCGAAAGCUAUUUAGGUAGCGCCUCGUGAAUUCAUCUCCGGGGGUAGAGCACUGUUUCGGCAAGGGGGUCAUCCCGACUUACCAACCCGAUGCAAACUGCGAAUACCGGAGAAUGUUAUCACGGGAGACACACGGCGGGUGCUAACGUCCGUCGUGAAGAGGGAAACAACCCAGACCGCCAGCUAAGGUCCCAAAGUCAUGGUUAAGUGGGAAACGAUGUGGGAAGGCCCAGACAGCCAGGAUGUUGGCUUAGAAGCAGCCAUCAUUUAAAGAAAGCGUAAUAGCUCACUGGUCGAGUCGGCCUGCGCGGAAGAUGUAACGGGGCUAAACCAUGCACCGAAGCUGCGGCAGCGACGCUGAUGCGUUGUUGGGUAGGGGAGCGUUCUGUAAGCCUGCGAAGGUGUGCUGUGAGGCAUGCUGGAGGUAUCAGAAGUGCGAAUGCUGACAUAAGUAACGAUAAAGCGGGUGAAAAGCCCGCUCGCCGGAAGACCAAGGGUUCCUGUCCAACGUUAAUCGGGGCAGGGUGAGUCGACCCCUAAGGCGAGGCCGAAAGGCGUAGUCGAUGGGAAACAGGUUAAUAUUCCUGUACUUGGUGUUACUGCGAAGGGGGACGGAGAAGGCUAUGUUGGCCGGGCGACGGUUGUCCCGGUUUAAGCGUGUAGGCUGGUUUUCCAGGCAAAUCCGGAAAAUCAAGGCUGAGGCGUGAUGACGAGGCACUACGGUGCUGAAGCAACAAAUGCCCUGCUUCCAGGAAAAGCCUCUAAGCAUCAGGUAACAUCAAAUCGUACCCCAAACCGACACAGGUGGUCAGGUAGAGAAUACCAAGGCGCUUGAGAGAACUCGGGUGAAGGAACUAGGCAAAAUGGUGCCGUAACUUCGGGAGAAGGCACGCUGAUAUGUAGGUGAAGUCCCUCGCGGAUGGAGCUGAAAUCAGUCGAAGAUACCAGCUGGCUGCAACUGUUUAUUAAAAACACAGCACUGUGCAAACACGAAAGUGGACGUAUACGGUGUGACGCCUGCCCGGUGCCGGAAGGUUAAUUGAUGGGGUCAGCGCAAGCGAAGCUCUUGAUCGAAGCCCCGGUAAACGGCGGCCGUAACUAUAACGGUCCUAAGGUAGCGAAAUUCCUUGUCGGGUAAGUUCCGACCUGCACGAAUGGCGUAAUGAUGGCCAGGCUGUCUCCACCCGAGACUCAGUGAAAUUGAACUCGCUGUGAAGAUGCAGUGUACCCGCGGCAAGACGGAAAGACCCCGUGAACCUUUACUAUAGCUUGACACUGAACAUUGAGCCUUGAUGUGUAGGAUAGGUGGGAGGCUUUGAAGUGUGGACGCCAGUCUGCAUGGAGCCGACCUUGAAAUACCACCCUUUAAUGUUUGAUGUUCUAACGUUGACCCGUAAUCCGGGUUGCGGACAGUGUCUGGUGGGUAGUUUGACUGGGGCGGUCUCCUCCUAAAGAGUAACGGAGGAGCACGAAGGUUGGCUAAUCCUGGUCGGACAUCAGGAGGUUAGUGCAAUGGCAUAAGCCAGCUUGACUGCGAGCGUGACGGCGCGAGCAGGUGCGAAAGCAGGUCAUAGUGAUCCGGUGGUUCUGAAUGGAAGGGCCAUCGCUCAACGGAUAAAAGGUACUCCGGGGAUAACAGGCUGAUACCGCCCAAGAGUUCAUAUCGACGGCGGUGUUUGGCACCUCGAUGUCGGCUCAUCACAUCCUGGGGCUGAAGUAGGUCCCAAGGGUAUGGCUGUUCGCCAUUUAAAGUGGUACGCGAGCUGGGUUUAGAACGUCGUGAGACAGUUCGGUCCCUAUCUGCCGUGGGCGCUGGAGAACUGAGGGGGGCUGCUCCUAGUACGAGAGGACCGGAGUGGACGCAUCACUGGUGUUCGGGUUGUCAUGCCAAUGGCACUGCCCGGUAGCUAAAUGCGGAAGAGAUAAGUGCUGAAAGCAUCUAAGCACGAAACUUGCCCCGAGAUGAGUUCUCCCUGACCCUUUAAGGGUCCUGAAGGAACGUUGAAGACGACGACGUUGAUAGGCCGGGUGUGUAAGCGCAGCGAUGCGUUGAGCUAACCGGUACUAAUGAACCGUGAGGCUUAACCUUACAACGCCGAAGCUGUU
rnacentral:rRNA from 1 species